rnacentral:rRNA from 1 species
UUGAGGCGUGGCUUCCGGAGCUAACGCGUUAAAUCGACCGCCUGGGGAGUACGGCCGCAAGGUUAAAACUCAAAUGAAUUGACGGGGGCCCGCACAAGCGGUGGAGCAUGUGGUUUAAUUCGAUGCAACGCGAAGAACCUUACCUGGUCUUGACAUCCACAGAACUUUCCAGAGAUGGAUUGGUGCCUUCGGGAACUGUGAGACAGGUGCUGCAUGGCUGUCGUCAGCUCGUGUUGUGAAAUGUUGGGUUAAGUCCCGCAACGAGCGCAACCCUUAUCCUUUGUUGCCAGCGGUUAGGCCGGGAACUCAAAGGAGACUGCCAGUGAUAAACUGGAGGAAGGUGGGGAUGACGUCAAGUCAUCAUGGCCCUUACGACCAGGGCUACACACGUGCUACAAUGGCAUAUACAAAGAGAAGCGACCUCGCGAGAGCAAGCGGACCUCAUAAAGUAUGUCGUAGUCCGGAUUGGAGUCUGCAACUCGACUCCAUGAAGUCGGAAUCGCUAGUAAUCGUAGAUCAGAAUGCUACGGUGAAUACGUUCCCGGGCCUUGUACACACCGCCCGUCACACCAUGGGAGUGGGUUGCAAAAGAAGUAGGUAGCUUAACCUUCGGGAGGGCGCUUACCACUUUGUGAUUCAUGACUGGGGUGAAGUCGUAACAAGGUAACCGUAGGGGAACCUGCGGUUG